rnacentral:misc_RNA from 1 species
GCUUUCUUACCUAUGAAAGUAAUGUUCUUUUUGCUCUUCGCUUCAUGAUUGACUGCAAUAUUGUUGGUGGCAACUGGAUUGAAGUUCCAGUUGGGAAAUACAAGAAAGCUGCAAGAAAUCUCUCCUAUUGUCAAUUAGAGUUUGAUUGUCUCUAUUCUGACUUGAUAAGCCAUUCUCCUGAAGGAGAAUUUUCGAAGAUGGCUCCAUUUCGCAUAUUGAGUUUCGAUAUUGAAUGUG